rnacentral:misc_RNA from 1 species
GGAAGGAUCAUUGAAUCUAUCAAUACACACACCGUGAACUUAUUUGUCUGGCUCUCUGCUCUUUCUUACGAGAGAGCAGAGCGUGCGGCCUCACAUUCAUUUGUGGGGUCGUGCGGGCUCGGCCUAAUCGCCGGGUUGGUCUUUCCAUUAUCCAACAUCAACACCAAACCAAACCUAUCUAAAGCUAAUUGAAGGCAGUCGGCCUGGCCGCUGCUUUUAACCAAGACAACUCUCAACAACGGAUAUCUUGGCUCUCGCAACGAUGAAGAACGCAGCGAAAUGCGAUACGUAGUGUGAAUUGCAGAAUUCCGUGAAUCAUCAAAUCUUUGAACGCAUAUUGCGCUCAAUGCUUCGGCAAAGAGCAUGUCUGCCUCAGCGUCGGGUUAAUACUCGCUCUCAUUCACACUGUGUGUGAAUGUCUUUGAGCGGAUCUGGCCGUCUCAAGCGUUGGUGCGUUGAUGAACAUCUCGCGCCUCUCAAACGUUUGGGUCGGCUGAAGCGCAGAGGUUAACGCAAGGACCCGUUAACGGGCCGCAACUGGGUGGGCAGCUCCACGCUUGCUAUAUCUUAGUUGUUGGCUUGGGCUCGUGCGUUCGACCCUCAAUCAGGAACCAUUAACUCAUUUUCUCGACCUGAGCUCAGGCAAGAACACCCGCUGAACUUAAGCAUAUCAAUAAGCGGAGGAAAAGAAACUAACCAGGAUUCCCCUAGUAACGGCGAGCGAACCGGGAAUAGCCCAACUUGAAAAUCUCCCUUUGGAGAAUUGUAGUCUAUAGAAGAGCCCUCUGCGGCGACCAGAGCCCAAGUCCGCUGGAAGGCGGCGUCAGAGAGGGUGAGAACCCCGUCGGCUCGAGGUUUAGCUGCUCCACGAGGUUCUUUCCACGAGUCGGGUUGUUUGGGAAUGCAGCCCAAAAUGGGAGGUAAAUCCCUUCUAAGGCUAAAUAUUGGCGAGAGACCGAUAGCGAACAAGUACCGUGAGGGAAAGAUGAAAAGAACUUUGAAAAGAGAGUUAAAAAGUGCUUGAAAUUGUUGAGAGGGAA